UACAGAGACUGCAAGCGUUAUUCGGAUUCACUGGGCGUAAAGGGUGCGCAGGCGGUUGGGUGUGUCAGAUGUGAAAUCCCGAGGCUUAACCUCGGAACUGCGUCUGAAACUACUCGACUAGAGUACUGGAGAGGGAAACGGAAUUCACGGUGUAGCAGUGAAAUGCGUAGAUAUCGUGAGGAACACCAGAGGCGAAGGCGGUUUCCUGGACAGUUACUGACGCUCAGGCACGAAAGCAUGGGGAGCA
rnacentral:rRNA from 1 species